CAAUUUAAUAGCCAUGCCCAUAUAUAAUAUAGGUUCUCUAAUCUUUAUAUUGUUCUUAAGUUCAUGUACUCGUUGCUAUUUCAUUAGUUUGUCUCUCCUUUAGUUAGUAUCAUAUGAAGAGAUAGAUCUCUAUAAGCUCAAGAAUCAAGGGUAUGGUGCAAAAAAAAUCUUGAAGGGUCAUGAUAAUCCUACUUAAAAUCAGCCUCAAUGUCUCCUGCAGAAGGGUAGGCUGAGAAAAUGAAAUGGCUAGGCGAGAAUCAAAUGCAAAACCUUAAUUAAAAAAGUGAUACUUCUGUGACAAUCUGGUUCUCCUAAUCCAACAACUUGUUCUUAAGAAC